AGAUGCAACGCGACCUCCUUCCCACAGCAACGAAAGACUGCGACUCCCCGGACUAUCAGGCCGGGAGAGUCCACUUCCAGCUCACCUCGGAGCUCCGGGAGCCUUUCAGCACCUGCUUGGUGAGCGCGAUUACGUCAGUACCACAGGUGGUCACCUUCUCCGUGAGAAGCCCCUUCACGGACUGACCGAACCGCGCUUGAGACUCUGGCGUUCCAGUCGCCAUCAUUUCAGUUAGCGAACGGUUGCGCACUGACGAUGAUGGAGUCUUGCUCUGUCACCCAGGCUGGAGUGCAGUGGUGCAAUCUCGGCUCACUACAAGCUCUGCCUCCCAGGUUCACACCAUUCUCCUGCCUCAGUCUCCGGAGUAGCUGGGACUACAGGUGCCCGCCACCACGCCCGGCUAAUUUUUUGUACUUUUAGUAGAGACGGAGUUUCACCGUGUUAGCCAGGAUGGUCUCGAUCUCCUGACCUUGUGAUCUGCUGGCGUCAGCCUCCCAAAGUGCUGGGAUUACAGGCGUGAGCCACCAUGCCCGGCCAGGAAUUCUCUCAAUUAUGAAAUCUUGCAGAGAAGUUAUUUUU
ensembl:lncRNA novel transcript, antisense to C10orf32